ACGCUCGACACCUACGGGCGGCAGCAGUGGGGAAUAUUGCACAAUGGGGGAAACCCUGAUGCAGCGACGCCGCGUGAGUGAAGAAGUAAUUCGUUAUGUAAAGCUCUAUCAGCAGGGAAGAAAGUGACGGUACCUGAGUAAGAAGCCCCGGCUAACUACGUGCCAACAGCCGCGGUAAUCUGAGCGGGCUGGCAAGGC
rnacentral:rRNA from 1 species